GUUUGUUACCACUAAGCCACAACAGGAACUCCCAACAUGGAUUUUUAAAAAGUGAAUUCAGGAGUAGAGUUGCAAAGAAGACACACCUACAUGGAUGUGGUCAGGCAGCACUUUGAUGAUGAAGCAGUUUAGAACUUCUGUUCUUGGAAUUCGUAUUACGCACAGCCUUGUGGAAAUGAAGAGAUAGAGCUCUUAAGUCUAUCUGUUCCAUCUGCCUACCACGCAGACCCGCACUCUCCACUGCCCAAGGAAUGGUGAGUACUGUGGUCAAUACUAACAGCCCCAACCACAUUCUACAGCGUAAUAGCUCCUGUGAUUAUACUGAGAAGUUUGAUAGGAAUUAUUUUCCUGACCUCAUCCCCAAAUUUCUUCUUGCUCAAUAUUAUCUUGUUAUUUCUAUUUAUUUCUCCCCUAAAAUGCCCUCCCCAUUACUUCCCCUGUAAUUAUCAGCUCACUGAAGUAGGCCCUUUCAUUUUGGUUUCCUCUUCACUGCCUGGAGCGUUGUGGGCACUCAGCAUAUGCUGUUUCACUUUUGAUGUCAGCAUCUUCAAAUGGAGACAGGUGGCUUCACAAGCGAGGACAAUCUUUGCAUCAACCAGGAUUAAUCUAAUAAUUUGCUUCAAGCACAUUAUAAUUUUGUCUCUCCUCCAAGUACCUUGAUUUUUUAAAAGGUUAGUGCAGAUAAUCCAGGCUUAUUCAUUCCUCUCAAAUUUCAACAAUCUGACCCAGAGUACUUGGGAUUUUUUUUUUAGGGUUCCACUGUUUACAGAGAUAUUUAAUUUACAAAAUAAAUAAGGUCAUAAUAAUGUUUAGUCAACAUUAUUAAUCAUUAUCAGUUAUAGUGAUAAUAUUAAUAUUACUAUUUUCAGGUUUAUUUUAAUUAAAUAAUGCAGAUCCAUAACAAAUUAGCAUGUGAACUGGUGAAUUUACAAACUCUCACGCAGAUUAGGGUGAAUAAAAAAAUUAACUAAGCAGCCACUGCACCACUUACUGCUCUGUUUUCAGAGAUAGAGAAACACAAAGUAAACUGAGAAAACUACAGGUAAUAUAUCUAAAUUAUAACAACAUGACAGGCUUAAAUAAACUAGAUUCUAUUGCCUGAAGAGACUGUAUUUUCUGCAGUGCCUGUCAGAACAGUGAGCUCAGUGAAGGUGCUCAGUGGGUGUUCACCGAAAUGGAUUUACGUACCCACUGGAUAUCACGCAAAUCUGCUGUUGAAAGCAAAUCCAUGAUGAUGCUGGUAAUUCAGCAACCAAAUCUAAUGCAAGUAGAGUUUAUGUUGAACAGUGGUUCAUGUUUGCUGUUACCUGAAAGAAGUGAUGUACUCGGACCUGAGACAUUUUAAUGCCUUCUCUGCAGGAAGCGCCACUGACCUGGAAGUAAGAGAAAGAGAAAACAUAGAUGAGAUUCACUACGAGGCAGUGAGAACUGAGUCUGAGCCACACACGCAAUUAUUCACAAGGAGCAUGGCUUCACAUUUAGCCAACAUGGGAGAUUCCAGGUCAAGGAUGUGCUGUGGAGAAGGUUCCCGAACUUUGUAUCUUCACUGGCUCCAAAAGGCUGCCCUAUUUCAUCAAAAGAAACUUGUUUUUCCUAACAAAGCUGGCUUAAUUUUCUAGUGACAUGGCACAGUUAAAGUACUGUAACAAUGACAGAAGUGCACGUUUCCGCCUUCUUUCCUUUCUAUGAAGUCAGAGGAAGAAACAAUAUAAAAUGCAAACAUGCAAACGGGAAGAUUUCUUUGUCUUAAGCUAACGCCAGGAGGGCGCGGCAAGCUUUACAGCAGCUGCAACCGGGAGUAACUGUGCUGUCUUGUUCUUUUGCCAAAUCCAUUCCUGAAAUAAAAAUGAAAGAGGCCCUGAACCGUCUUAAUCUUUGGACAUGAUGCUGAACACACGGUGCAGAGAGCGCUGUGCUUGGGAAAAUCUCAACUUGUGGCCAGUUUUACCGUUUCAGGCAGCAGUGGCUUUGGGCAAAGUGCCAGUCUGCUCUGAGCCUCUUUCCUUUUCUGCAAAAUGAGAAUAAAAGUCACCGCCUUGCUUACCUCAUAAGGGCGUCUGAGGCUCAAAUUAAAUGCGAUAAUGUCACAGAGCUUUGCGAACUCUAAAGAACUAUAAAUACAUGGUAUUAUUAGAAGUGGCUGGAAGUAACUGAUGAGAUGGCUUAAUUUUAGUCAUUUCAAAUGCCUCAGGGGUGAGCGGAGCUGUGCGAGGGGGUUAGGUUUUGUGGCAGCUCUGCGGCACGGGGCGAGCAGGGCUGGCCAGGGGGAGAAGCUACUCGCUCCUCUCUCCCAGGAAGGGGGCCGGACUUGAGCUGCUUUCUAAAGAAGGCAAGAAAAACAGGAGUUGAGAGACGGCAACUACAGUGAGGAAGCAGGAUUUCGCUAACAGGAGAGAGAAAGACAGUGAGAAGGGCCAAAGGAGCGCCUGAAAAACCAGACGUGGUCAAAACCAUGGGGCCUAGAAGCGGAAAGAAAAUAGAGGAAGUCGAGACUGAUAAGGAUGGAGGAGGGACAGCUGCUCACAGCAGGCAAGUGGGCAAGAUUCCAGGCUUAGGACAGAGCCCAGGGUGUCAGCAGCCCCAGGGACCCAACCUGGAGAAUCAGCUGGAGGAGGGCUCGAUAUCCUAGACCAGGGGUGUGCAGACACACAGAGACUUACUUAUUUACGAGGGUUGACUGUGUGCCAGGUACUGGAAAAGGGACCCUCUUUUCAAACAAAAUCCUACACAGAAACCCACUAAAUGAAACAGAAAAAAACUGAAGGUGCUUUGGAGAACCCAGAGUCUCCCAGCUUCCCUCUGAGCCCUUUGCAGCUCCCUGGGCACCUGUGCAGGGACACAGACUUCUAGAGAGAUCGAGAUAAGCUCACUUAGCCUUGUUGCAUCUCUGGCCCCUAGCACAUGAGAAGUACUUGAUAUUUCGUGGAUGACUGAAUGAAUGUGAUAGAGGGUAAGUGGUGUGCAGGAGAGAAGUCAGAUAAAUGGGUUCGGUGGGUUCUGAAACUACCUUGUGAGACUGAUUUAUCCAUGCAUGGUGUAUACAUGAAAGUGUCUCAAGCUUUAGUUGUGAAAUGAGGCUGGCUAAGGGUGGGGGAACCCCUUAGUUGGGUUUGGAGGUGGGGGGUUAUCCAGCCACAGGAGCCUAAAUUGUAGUGGGUAGGAUAAGCCAAAACCAGAGGACACUUCUAUGGAAAUGUCUUGGUCAUUUCAUCAUGAAAACAUAACCAGUUCACUGCUCUGCUCCUUUACUAGUGGGGCAGAAACACAGAUAAAAAUAGCUAAUAUUUAUUGGGUGUUGACUACUUGCCAGGCACAGUAAUAACCCCUUAAUGCUGUGUAGUGGGCAGAAUAAUGGCCCACAAAGACGCUUAUGUCCCAGUCUGUAAAGGCUGUGACUAAGUUAUGUUAGAUAGCAAUGGAGGAAUUAUGCGGUAGAUGGAGUUAAGGUUACUAAUCAGCUGACUGUGAGAUGGUUUGAUUAUCCUGGAUUAUCUGCUGGGUCAGGGUGCAAGAGGCAGGAGUCAGUGUCAGAGAAGGAGAUGCAAUGGCAGGAGCAGAGGCUGGAACGAUGUGAUGUGAGAGCUCACCUAGCCAUUACUGAUUUUGAAGAUGCAUGGGGCCACGGUCCAAGGAACAUGGGUAGCCUCUAGAAGCAGCUAACACAUAGAAAAACACAUUCUCCUCUAGGUCUUCCUGGCCCUUCUGACACCUUGAUUUCAGCCCAGUGAAACCCAUUUCAGACUUCUGACCUCCAGAACCAUAAGAUAAAAACUUUUUUUUUUUUUUUUUUAAGCCACUAACCUAGGGGUAAACAGCAAUAGAAAACAAAUACAGAUUUUCUCACUCCCUCUUUACAACAGCCUCAUCCGAUGGGUACUUAAUAUAGCUGUUUUGCAAAUGAAUAGGCUAAGGCUUGGAGGGCUUGACUCAUUUGACCCAGAGGUGAGUGGAUGGCCUGAUUUUGGAGCCACUUGGAGAUGGUUUUGCUUCUUCCUUUCACAAAUGAGAAGACUAGGCACGGAAAUGUGUCCAAGUCACAUGUGAGUUGGUGACAAAGCUCACUGUACCCCCAUAAAAAUGGGGGUAGACCAGCCUUUCACAAAUACACAUGUGCCCAGAAAGUCACUGGGAGUCCCAUUAGGAUGCAGGCUCCAACCAGCAGGUCUGGGCUGGGAGCCAGGUUGCUACAUUUCCCAGCAGCCCCUGGGGGAGGCUGAUGCUAUUGGCCAGGGACUAGCAGAGCGGUCACUGCCCUUGUGCCUUGCGCUGGGGGUUCUGAGCAACCCAGAGCCAUCAGAGAGCUUUGGGCAUCGAGUGGAAUGAGGGGGCACUAGGGAGGGAGACACAGGAGCAGACGCCCCACAGUUCUGUGGUGAAUGAGGUUUAGGGUCUCGGAGGAAAAAGUCGGGGUUAAAGACAAGGAUCUCACUCACAGGGCUCCUCUUGAGAAUGACAUCACCCACAUGCGAAGAUUAUCGUUGUCAUUUGAAAAGUCAUUCGAAAUGUGCUGGCCUGGCUCUGGCAUCACGAUGGCCUUUACUCUUUUAUGGGACAACACCCACAGGUCAAGAACAUCUUCCUACCGCAGAGAGAAAAUAGCUCCAUGUGACUGUGUGGGGAAAAGCAACAUCCUCCAUUCCCUGACAUACAUUUCAUGUAAAGAAAAAAACCCCCUUUUUUUUUGGAGAAAAAGAGAAUAAACUGCUUAUGCUUUGAGAAACAUGUCUGAAGCUUGAUGGGAUCAAAAAGCUCAAGGUCCUGCCCUUUCCUCUCCUCAGCCCCAGCACUGCUCCCCCGGUGGACUGCACCCUCAGGACAGAAGGGUGCUUCAGUCUGUAACCGCAGACGUGGUUCUUUGGGUCUUUGUGUUUCAUUUUAAAAGAAAUACACGCACCCCCAUAUGUGUGGGACAUGCUGGGAGGGUCCCUGACCUUUUCCACUGUGACUGCAGAAUUUCCAUCUGUCUGUGGCUAGGGGAGCUGCCUGCAGGCUGGGAAUGUUCUCUUUUCAUUUUGAAACAACAGCCAGGCACGCGAGCAAGAAAUAGCAGCUAUCGUUUCAGACACAAGAACUCAGAGAGGAAGCAAAUGUUUGGCUGACUGUUUCCCGGGGGUAGAGAGUAAAAAAAUAUUCCUCUGCAUAUUUACAGCGGCUCCAAAAUGACAGGAAUUUUUUUUUUUUCAUUUACUCAUUCAACUCAGCACUGUUGACCUCCAAAGCUACCUCACCUACAGGUUGAAAAUGGAACUUUAAAGUGUUUCUAAAUUAAGUUUUCUACAAACGUUCUUAGCUUUAGGGUUUGCUUCUGAAGGUGGAAAAAAAUAUGUUGGUUAGUUGUUCGGAUCACCCCCCAAGCACUGCUCAGCCCUGUAAGUGCAGGGAGGUAGGGUGCUAGGAUCUUUGCCUUCGUCAGGGUCCGGAUGUUCAGAGCGUGGCCGGUCUGGACACCGAGCCCUUUAGCGGGGAGGACUCUGGCCACCCUGGGAACUUGACAUUUUGGUGGUUUUCGCUUAUCAGCAUGGGAGAAGACGGGUGGUAAGAACACACCGCUUGGCAGUCAGACAAACCUUGCUAGUGUGUUAUCUUGUCCAGGCCCCUAACAUUCUUGGGUGACUUCACUAUGGGCUUGUGUCCUUAUCUGCAAAAUACAAAAAAUAUACAAAAAAAUAACACCUCCUCUUGAGAUUAUUGGGAAGAUUAAAGGAGAUAAUAUGAGUGGCACAAAGUAAGACCCUAAAAAUGUUUGCUCCUCCAAGGGCCAGAAAUACAGACUUUCAGGAAUAAUGUCUGUUUGGCUGUAGAAAUGUAUUAUGUUACAUUAAUCUUCCUCAUGAUAUGUUCCUUGGCCUACCAAUAAUAUCAUUUUUUUUUUUUUCUUUUCAGGGCUGCACUUGCGGCAUAUGGAGGAAGUUCCCAAGCUAGGGGUCUAAUCAGAGCUA